UACGUAGGGGGCAAGCGUUGUUCGGAAUUACUGGGCGUAAAGGGCGCGUAGGCGGCACGGCAAGUCAGGAGUGAAAGCCCUGGGCUCAACCCGGGAACUGCUUUUGAAACUGCCGAGCUAGAGUGCGGAAGGGGCAACUGGAAUUCCCAGUGUAGCGGUGAAAUGCGUAGAUAUUGGGAAGAACACCUGAGGCGAAGGCGGGUUGCUGGGCCGACACUGACGCUGAGGCGCGAAAGCGUGGGGAGCGAACAGG
rnacentral:rRNA from 1 species